UCGGCUCAGCCGUUCAAAAGUAGUAACGAAAUGAAUAAUGAUAAAGUCGGGGGUUUUUUAAUUUGUAUUUUUUGGGUUCCAAUAUUAUAUUUACACUAGCUGCGCCCCCGAGCUUCGCUCCCGUGGCAAUUUCGGGAUAAAAAUUACCCUAUGUGUUAUUCCAGGUUAUAUUCUACCCGUGUACCAAAUUUCAUAGCAAUCUGUGCAAUAGAUUUUGCGUGAAAGAGUAACAAACGUACAUACACACAUCCUCACAAACGUUAGCCUUUAUAAUAUUAGGAGGAUUGUAAUUGCCAAUACACAUUAUUUCAGUCAUGAUGGAAAAUGAUCUUUUUCUGAUUGGCCCGGGUCUUGGAUGUUUAUCUAUAUAUGUAUAUGUUAUAAAAUGUAGUAUCGUUGAGUUAGUAUCCCGUAAUACAAAUCUGUGUGAUUUGUCCUUACUUUAAUUUAUUUAUAAUAAUGAUGUUCACAGAUUCAUAGAGAAGCUCCAAGAAGUGUUGGACGGUAACCGUGCAGUGACCAUAGUGUUGGACGACCCCGCUGGUAACUCGUAUGUUCAGAGCUUGGCCGACGACCCGACCACACCAGACGAAGGUGUUAAGAUAACGAGAUACGAGCGCUCACACGAACAGAACGAGGAGCUAGGACUCAAUGAUAUGAAGACUGAAGGAUACGAGGAAAGCUAGCGGGCGUCAUUACGUUUUAAUGUAUUUUAACCCAAGCAGAGAAUAAAUAUAUUUGUUUAUU